AACGAACGCUGGCGGCAGGCUUAACACAUGCAAGUCGAACGCAUCCUUCGGGGUGAGUGGCAGACGGGUGAGUAACGCGUGGGAACGUGCCCUUCAGUUCGGGAUAACCCAGGGAAACUUGGGCUAAUACCGGAUACGUGCGAGAGCAGAAAGAUUUAUCGCUGAAGGAUCGGCCCGCGUCAGAUUAGCUAGUUGGUGGGGUAAUGGCCCACCAAGGCGACGAUCAGUAGCUGGUCUGAGAGGAUGAUCAGCCACAUUGGGACUGAGACACGGCCCAAACUCCUACGGGAGGCAGCAGUGAGGAAUAUUGGACAAUGGGCGCAAGCCUGAUCCAGCCAUGCCGCGUGAGUGAUGAAGGCCUUAGGGUUGUAAAGCUCUUUCGUCCGGGACGAUAAUGACGGUACCGGAAGAAGAAGCCCCGGCUAACUUCGUGCCAGCCGCCGCGGUAAUAC
rnacentral:rRNA from 1 species